rnacentral:tRNA from 1 species
GGGGAGAUGGCUCAGUCAGUAAAGUGCUUGCUUUGCAAGCACGAGGAUCCAGGUUCAAUCCCUGGUACCCA